GACGAACGCUGGCGGCGUGCUUAACACAUGCAAGUCGAACGGUGAAGGGACCGGUUUUUGCUGGUUCUGGAUGAGUGGCGAACGGGUGAGUAACACGUGAGUAACCUGCCCCCUUCUUCUGGAUAACCGCAUGAAAGUGUGGCUAAUACGGGAUAUUCUGCGCCUGCUGCAUGGUGGGUGUGGGAAAGAUAUUGUUUCGGUGGGGGAUGGGCUCGCGGCCUAUCAGCUUGUUGGUGGGGUGAUGGCCUACCAAGGCGGUGACGGGUAGCCGGCCUGAGAGGGUGGACGGUCACACUGGGACUGAGACACGGCCCAGACUCCUACGGGAGGCAGCAGUGGGGAAUAUUGCACGAUGGGCGCAAGCCUGAUGCAGCGACGCCGCGUGAGGGAUGGAGGCCUUCGGGUUGUAAACCUCUUUCGCCAGUGAAGCAGGCCUGUCCCUUUUGUGGGUGGGUUGACGGUAGCUGGAUAAGAAGCGCCGGCUAACUACGUG
rnacentral:rRNA from 1 species